GUUUCUUCCUAGGUUUUUGGCCUUUCUAGGGAGUUUUUCCUAGGGAGUUUUUCCUAGCCACCGUGCUUCUUUCACAUGCAUUGCUUGCUGUUUGGGGUUUUAGGCUGGGUUUCUGUACAGCACUUUGAGAUAUCAGCUGAUGUACGAAGGGCUAUAUAAAAAUGUUUGAUUUGAUUUGAUCUGUAUUCAUUUAUAUCCACUAGAUGGCACUGUGCGCAGUGUGUAAGAGUGAGAGCAAGCAAUUACACUGGAGAGCUGAUGAAAUCCAUCGUGGGUCCAACGCUACUUUAGAUGGCUAAAUAAUACUUUUCAUUUUACUCUUGUACCGGAACAUAUCAUAUUUUGCAUCAUCUGCAGUGUAUAAGAGUUUGUUUUGUAAUAUUUAUGCCAGAUGGUCAUGUUAGACUGUUGAUACUUUCAGAUUGACAUGAGAAAGUUAGCUUCUUGCUAGCUGAAUACCAGUGCUCUCAGAACCACGUUGUGAAGUUGAUGAUAACCUUAUUUGAAGCUAUGGGUGAGAUGAGGAUCUACUGUUCCAUGUGGUGUUAGGGUAUCACCUGGACAAUAUUUAUUUUACAGAGCCACUACCAUUUAGGCAUUUCACUUUGUACUUAUUGUACUCAGAUUGUUUUUAUGCUGAUUUAUUCACUUGAUUGUGAUUUAGACUGAACUUUACUUGAUGGGGACUUCCCUUCUACAUUAUCCUAUUUUAAAUGUAAGAUUCGACAGAAUAAACAGC
rnacentral:lncRNA from 1 species